rnacentral:rRNA from 1 species
GAUGAACGCUGGCGGCGUGCCUAAUACAUGCAAGUCGAGCGAACAGACGAGGAGCUUGCUCCUCUGACGUUAGCGGCGGACGGGUGAGUAACACGUGUAUAACCUACCUAUAAGACUGGGAUAACUUCGGGAAACCGGAGCUAAUACCGGAUAAUAUAUUGAACCGCAUGGUUCAAUAGUGAAAGACGGUUUUGCUGUCACUUAUCGAUGGAUCCGCGCCGCAUUAGCUGGUUGGUGAGGUAACGGCUUACCAAGGCAACGAUGCGUAGCCGACCUGAGAGGGGGAUCGGCCACAGAGAAAGUGAGAGGCGAUCCAGACUCCUACGUGAGGCAGCAGUAGGGAAUCGUCCGCAAUGGGCGAAAGCCUGACGGAGCAACGCAGCGUGGGUGAUGAAGGUCUGCGGAUCGUAAAACUCUGUUAUUAGGGAAGAACAAAUGUGUAAGUAACGAUGCACGUCUGGACGGUACCUAAACAGAAAGCCACGGUUAACUACUU